rnacentral:rRNA from 1 species
GCGCCAGACUCCUACGGGAGGCAGCAGUGGGGAAUAUUGCACAAUGGGCGCAAGCCUGAUGCAGCCAUGCCGCGUGUAUGAAGAAGGCCUUCGGGUUGUAAAGUACUUUCAGCGGGGAGGAAGGUGCUGAGGUUAAUAACCUUAGCCAUUGACGUUACCCGCAGAAGAAGCACCGGCUAACUCCGUGCCAGCAGCCGCGGUAAUACGGAGGGUGCAAGCGUUAAUCGGAAUUACUGGGCGUAAAGCGCACGCAGGCGGUCUGUCAAGUCGGAUGUGAAAUCCCCGGGCUCAACCUGGGAACUGCAUUCGAAACUGGCAGGCUGGAGUCUUGUAGAGGGGGGUAGAAUUCCAGGUGUAGCGGUGAAAUGCGUAGAGAUCUGGAGGAAUACCGGUGGCGAAGGCGGCCCCCUGGACAAAGACUGACGCUCAGGUGCGAAAGCGUGGGGAGCAAACAGGAUUAGAUACCCCCGUAUA